rnacentral:lncRNA from 1 species
GUUUUAGUUUGUGAUUAGAUCAGUUUAAGAUGAACUGCUUAUGUUAAGUCAAUGAUAUUUGAUAUGCAAGUUUAUUGGCAUUUGCAAGUAUGGUUUCCAUGGAGAUUAUAUAUCAACACUCCUUCUUCAUGGUUCAUUGACUUUGAAACUUUAAUACAUAGUCUAUAAGUUAAUCUAUGUGUUUAAGUUUGUUUAAAGGGGAC